ACCACACGCACCCAGACAGCAGAUAUUUAACAUUUGUUCCACUUAGCGAUUUCUCGUCAGCUGCUUGAUCUUUUGCGGGCAAGUCGCGGAACGUGCGCUUCCAUUAGUGCCCUUCAGCUCCCGAGUGCAUACAUAGGUUUGUUGUCCCAGGCAAAGGAUCACAUUCCUCCCGAAUAAUCAACCUGUUUGGAAAACAUUAAAAUCAGAAAAAGGCCAGGAAAGAAAUAUGCCUGACUUCUCAAUGGAUAUGCUUUGUAAUUUAUAUUGAUUCGACGACGGCGGGUUAAAACUAUUCAUCAACUAAGACUCAGCCAUAAGGAAUGCCUGAGAUAAUUGCUAUUACGACAAGGUAUUUUGCAAGGCUACACUGCUUCGCCGCCCCUCUCCUCCUAAUAUUUCGGGAAAGGAAACUUGCACGUUUCUAGGAGAAAGGAGAGACAGAGAAAAAAGAGAAAAUCCCAGCUUAUAUAUAUCAAGAAGACCCCAUUGUGAACGCCAUUGUCUUGCGCCCUCUUUUCCUGUGAGAAAAAAAUAAUAAUGAUAAACGCACGACGCAACAACUCUCCCUCCACCCCCAUCCAGAGAAGGAAGAUACAAGGCCAAUAAAAAAAAAAAAAAAAAAGGGCAAAAAGAAAAGAGAAGAGAAAAGCGCAAGAGAAACGGUCCACUAAACCCCAAGCCAGUAUCGCAGAGGUCAUAAUGAAUCAUACAUGAAAACAAUCCCAUCCCCUCACAACAACCUAUACACAACUAUCGAUUUUUCAGCCCUAGGCACAAUCCAAUACCUCUCCUGUUACCAAAAUUAUAAAACAUAGAACC
rnacentral:sRNA from 1 species